GUUUGUCUUUGCGGUCCGCCUCUCGGCGGUCGGGUCGAGUUAAGCCUUUAACCUGGACCAGAAAUCUUGGGGAGAGUGGGUGUUGCAGCCUCCAGCCUCGAACUUCUCCCGUGAGGGGGGAGACUCCGCGGAGCGCAGGAGGCCAGAGUGUCUCUUUUUAUUUACUGAUGGCUCCGAAUUGUUCAGCGGUGUGCAGGAACUUUUGACGCAAGACCUUUUCACACGCUGACGUGAUUGAAUACCUACCCCCAAUCGAUGGUCCCUUCGGUGCUGGGAUUAAAAACAUGUGCCACUACACUUGGUUGGGCAUUUCUUACUUUAGAAUUACCUACUCGCCUGCCUGCAAGGUGGAUUCACUCCUGGUCAGAUCAGAGGACAACUUCAGCUGUCUACUCCAAUCUGUAUUCACAUUCAGAACACAGACACAUCUGAGCCAAACGGUCUAUCCUAAAUGUUCAUACCAUGCCGUGAUCCACCCGGAAGAAGGCCAACUGGCAUGGCUUAUUGAGGAGAUUCGCAA